rnacentral:rRNA from 1 species
AACGAACGCUGGCGGCAUGCCUAACACAUGCAAGUCGAACGAGACCUUCGGGUCUAGUGGCGCACGGGUGCGUAACGCGUGGGAACCUGCCCUUAGGUUCGGAAUAACUCCCCGAAAGGGGUGCUAAUACCGGAUAAUGUCUUCGGACCAAAGAUUUAUCGCCUUUGGAUGGGCCCGCGUUGGAUUAGCUAGUUGGUAGGGUAAAAGCCUACCAAGGCGACGAUCCAUAGCUGGUCUGAGAGGAUGCUCAGCCACCCUGGGACUGAGACACGGCCCAGACUCCUACGGGAGGCAGCAGUGGGGAAUAUUGGACAAUGGGCGAAGGCCUGAUCCAGCAAUGCCGCGUGAGUGAUGAAGGCCUUAGGGUUGUAAAGCUCUUUUACCCGGGAUGAUAAUGACAGUACCGGGAGAAUAAGCUCCGGCUAACUCCGUG